rnacentral:tRNA from 2 species
AAUCCGUCGACUUUUGAAAUCGUGAGGG